rnacentral:rRNA from 1 species
UACGAAGGGGGCUAGCGUUGUUCGGAAUCACUGGGCGUAAAGCGCACGUAGGCGGAUCUUUAAGUCAGGGGUGAAAUCCCGAGGCUCAACCUCGGAACUGCCUUUGAUACUGGGGAUCUCGAGUCCGGGAGAGGUGAGUGGAACUGCGAGUGUAGAGGUGAAAUUCGUAGAUAUUCGCAAGAACACCCGUGGCGAAGGCGGCUCUCUGGGACGGUACUGGACGCUGAGACGCGAAAGCGUGGGGAGCGAACAGG